UGCGGGGCCGGGCGGUGGCGGCGGCGGCAUGGCGGAGAGCGAGGCCGAGACCCCCAGCACGCCGGGCGAGUUCGAGAGCAAGUACUUCGAGUUCCACGGCGUGCGGCUACCGCCCUUCUGCCGCGGGAAGAUGGAGGAGAUCGCCAACUUCCCGGUGCGGCCCAGCGACGUGUGGAUCGUCACCUACCCCAAGUCCGGCACCAGCUUGCUGCAGGAGGUGGUCUACUUGGUGAGCCAGGGGGCCGACCCUGAUGAGAUCGGCCUGAUGAAUAUCGACGAGCAGCUCCCGGUCCUGGAGUACCCGCAGCCGGGCCUGGACAUCAUCAAGGAACUGACGUCCCCCCGCCUCAUCAAAAGCCACCUCCCGUACCGCUUCCUGCCCUCAGACCUCCACAGCGGCGACUCCAAGGUCAUAUACAUGGCCCGGAACCCCAAGGACCUGGUGGUGUCCUACUACCAGUUCCACCGCUCCCUGCGGACCAUGAGCUACCGAGGCACAUUCCAGGAGUUCUGCCGGAGGUUCAUGAACGACAAGUUGGGCUACGGCUCCUGGUUUGAGCACGUGCAGGAGUUCUGGGAGCACCGUAUGGACUCGAAUGUGCUUUUCCUCAAGUACGAAGACAUGCACCGGGACCUGGUGACCAUGGUGGAGCAGCUGGCCCGGUUCCUGGGGGUGUCGUGUGACAAGGCCCAGCUGGAGUCCCUGAUCGAGCACUGCCACCAGCUGGUGGACCAGUGCUGCAACGCCGAGGCCCUGCCUGUGGGCCGGGCACAUUGCCUCUUUGCUCAGAAGACCUCCUUGCGUUGGUGAGAAUGCAGGGGCUUGAGUAGCCAGCUGCAUUGCUUAGAUUUGAUUCAUGUCACAGCAUAAAUUGCACUGUCUUGAUUCCAAAUCCUAAACCAGCCUUCCCGAAAUCUUCACCCUUGACCUGGUCAGGCGGCUUCGUGCUCACCAGAAAAUGUUCUACCUUUUUGGAUGAUUUUUUUCUUUUCCUUUUAAAAUUCUCCAGAAGCAAAUCCUGCCUUGGUGGAGCUGUUGAGCCGUGAGUGAGUAGUGGUGCCACGAGGACCCCGAUCCACAUGGUGCCCGGGGCCGCAGAUCUGUUCCACAGACACUGUCUGUCCUCUGGGGUGUUGUGACUCACCCGCUUUGUGCCCGGUGCCGGGGAUUCAGUGGCGGAUGGGCAGGGCCCGCGGCUCUGCACGUUUGUGGUGCUGGGCGGUCAGGGAAGAGGGUUCAGCUGGUCUGUCGCUCACAUGGGCCGUCCUGCCCCAAUAGGCCAGGUUCACAGGGGUCCGGGAAUAGAUCUGGAACCUUCCAGAUCCAUUUCCUGCGGUUUGGUAGCUGGCCUGACAGCAAGUGAAUUCAGCACACUCUGCUCGUUUGUGUUUUAGGGAGAGUCGGGCUGUGGAAGGACAUCUUCACUGUCUCCAUGAACGAGAAGUUUGAUUUGGUGUAUAAACAGAAGAUGGGAAAGUGUGACCUCACGUUCGACUU